rnacentral:rRNA from 1 species
ACAUACCUAUGUUGCUUCGGCGGGCCGUCCCGCGGCGCGCCCACGUGGCGUGACCCGGAACCAAGGCGCCCGCCGGGGACCCAAACUCUUGCCUUUUUAGUGUCUCUUCUGAGUGGCAUAAGCAAAAAAUAAACAAAACUUUCAGCAACGGAUCUCUUGGUUCUGGCAUCGAUGAAGAACGCAGCGAAAUGCGAUAAGUAAUGUGAAUUGCAGAAUUCAGUGAAUCAUCGAAUCUUUGAACGCACAUUGCGCCCGCCAGUAUUCUGGCGGGCAUGCCUGUCUGAGCGUCAUUUCAACCCUCAGCCCCCGCUCGCGGGGCGCUGGCGUUGGGGAUCGGCCGUCCUCCGCGGCGGCCGGCCCCGAAACACAGUGGCGGUCUCCUGCAGACUCCCCUGCGUAGUAGCACUACCUCGCAGAAGGGACGAGCGGGCUGGCCACGCCGUAAAACCCCCAACUUCUCAAGGUUGACCUCAGAUCAGGUAGGAAUACCCGCUGAACUUAAGCAUAUCAAU